rnacentral:rRNA from 1 species
AGAUUGAACGCUGGCGGCGUGCUUAACACAUGCAAGUCGAGCGGUAACAGGCGUAGCAAUACGUGCUGACGAGCGGCGAACGGGUGAGUAAUGCUUCGGAAUCUGCCUGGUAGUGGGGAAUAACCAGUCGAAAGACUGGCUAAUGCCGCAUACGACCCUUUUUCGUAUUGGAAUUGGGUGAAAGCGGGGGAUCGUAAGACCUCGCGCUAAUAGAUGAGCCGAAGUCGGAUUAGCUAGUUGGUGAGGUAACGGCUCACCAAGGCGACAAUCCGUAGC